CGGCAAUAGCUCAAAUUUGAAAUCUGGCGCUUGCGUCCGAGUUGUAAUUUGUAGAGGAUGAUUUUGGUUAGGUACCUUUCGAGUUCCUUGGAACAGGACGCCUUAGAGGGUGAGAGCCCCGUACGAUUGGAUGCCGAGCCUCUGUAAAUCUCCUUCGACGAGUCGAGUAGUUUGGGAAUGCUGCUCUAAAUGGGAGGUAAAUUUCUUCUAAAGCUAAAUACCGGCCAGAGACCGAUAGCGCACAAGUAGAGUGAUCGAAAGAUGAAAAGCACUUUGAAAAGAGGGUUAAAUAGCACGUGAAAUUGUUGAAAGGGAAGGAUUUAUGACCAGACUUUUUCUAGGAGGAUCAUCCGGUGUUCUCACCGGUGCACUUCUUCUAGUUUAGGCCAGCAUCGACUUCUGGCGGCGGAUAAAAGCUUUAGGAAUGUGGCUCCCUACGGGGAGUGUUAUAGCCUAUUGUAUAAUACGCUGCUGGGGGUCGAGGUACGCGCUUCUGCAAGGAUGCUGGCGUAAUGGUUAUCAAUCACCCGUCUUGAAACACGGACCAAGGAGUCGAACAUUUAUGCGAGUGUUUGGGUGUUAAACCCUCACGCGUAAUGAAAGUGAACGGAGGUGAGAGCCCUUACGGGUGCAUCAUCGACCGAUCCUGAAGUUUUCGGAUGGAUUUGAGUAAGAGCAUAACUGUUCGGACCCGAAAGAUGGUGAACUAUGCGUGGAUAGGGUGAAGCCAGAGGAAACUCUGGUGGAGGCUCGCAGCGGUUCUAACGUGCAAAUCGAUCGUC
rnacentral:rRNA from 1 species